AUUAACGCUGGCGGUGUGCUUUAUGCAUGCAAGUCGAACGAUUCUUAGCAAUAAGUUUAGUGGCAGACGGGUGAGUAACGCGUAAGUAACCUGCCCUUAAGUGGGGAAUAACUCUGAGAAAUUAGAGUCAAUACCGCAUGUGAUCCGCUCACACAAGUGGGUGGAUUAAAGCCGUAAGGCGCUUGAGGAGGGGCUUGCGUCCGAUUAGCUAGUUGGUGAGGUAACGGCCCACCAAGGCAGUUAUCGGUAGCUGGUCUGAGAGGGCGACCAGCCACACUGGAACUGAGACACGGUCCAGACUCCUACGGGAGGCAGCAGCAAGGAAUAUUGGGCAAUGGGCGAAAGCCUGACCCAGCGACACCGCGUGAGGGAAGAAGGCCUUCGGGUCGUAAACCUCUUUUUUUGGGGAAGAAUAAUGACGGUACCCAUGGAAUAAGUCUCGGCUAACUACGU
rnacentral:rRNA from 1 species